rnacentral:misc_RNA from 1 species
GAUGAAGAACGUAGCGAAAUGCGAUAAGUAAUGUGAAUUGCAGAAUUCAGUGAAUCAUCGAAUCUUUGAACGCACAUUGCGCCCGCCAGUAUUCUGGCGGGCAUGCCUGUUCGAGCGUCAUUACAACCCUCAGGCCCCCGGGCCUGGCGUUGGGGAUCGGCGGAGCCCCCCGUGGGCACACGCCGUCCCCCAAAUACAGUGGCGGCCCCGCCGCAGCUUCCAUCGCGUAGUAGCUAACACCUCGCGACUGGAGAGCGGCGCGGCCACGCCGUAAAACACCCAACUCUUCUGAAGUUGACCUCGAAUCAGGUAGGAAUACCCGCUGAACUUAAGCAUAUCAAUAAGCGGAGGA